rnacentral:rRNA from 1 species
UGAGCUUGAUCCUGGCUCAGGAUGAACGCUAGCGGCAGGCUUAACACAUGCAAGUCGAGGGGUAUGCUUCUUCGGAAGCAGAGACCGGCGCACGGGUGCGUAACGCGUAUGCAAUCUACCUUUUACAGAGGGAUAGCCCAGAGAAAUUUGGAUUAAUACCUCAUAGCAUAGCAGUCUCGCAUGAGAUCACUAUUAAAGUCACAACGGUAAAAGAUGAGCAUGCGUCCCAUUAGCUAGUUGGUAAGGUAACGGCUUACCAAGGCUACGAUGGGUAGGGGUCCUGAGAGGGAGAUCCCCCACACUGGUACUGAGACACGGACCAGACUCCUACGGGAGGCAGCAGUGAGGAAUAUUGGACAAUGGGCGCAAGCCUGAUCCAGCCAUGCCGCGUGCAGGAUGACGGUCCUAUGGAUUGUAAACUGCUUUUAUACGAGAAGAAACACUGCUUCGUGAAGCAGCUGACGG